GUGAGGAAUAUUGGACAAUGGGCGCAAGCCUGAUCCAGCCAUGCCGCGUGCAGGAAGACGCAUCUAUGGUGUGUAAACUGCUUUUGUACGGGAAGAAACACUCCCUCGUGAGGGAGCUUGACGGUACCGUAAGAAUAAGGAUCGGCUAACUCCGUGCCAGCAGCCGCGGUAAUACGGAGGAUCCAAGCGUUAUCCGGAAUCAUUGGGUUUAAAGGGUCCGUAGGCGGUUUAAUAAGUCAGUGGUGAAAGCCCAUCGCUCAACGAUGGAACUGCCAUUGAUACUGUUAGACUUGAAUUACAAGGAAGUAACUAGAAUAUGUAGUGUAGCGGUGAAAUGCUUAGAUAUUACAUGGAAUACCAAUUGCGAAGGCAGGUUACUACUUGUGGAUUGACGCUGAUGGACGAAAGCGUGGGGAGCGAACAGGAUUAGAAACCCUGGUAGUCC
rnacentral:rRNA from 1 species